GUCGGGAGGGGGAGUUUGGGGAUCAGUAUGCUUGGAUGAAAAGGUAAGUGGGCUCUCCCUAGAUCUUUUCAGAGCUGCAGUCUGCCUGACCGUGUAUCUUCCUUUCCUCUUCCAUAGCUCCUAUUUCCAACUCCCCUGCCUUAGUGUAUCCAUUGACACUAAGGUGUUGUGACUGAUACCAAGAUAAUAUGCUGCCUCUUCUGCCUCUCUCUUUGAGAGAGAGAGAGAGAGA
rnacentral:lncRNA from 10 species